rnacentral:misc_RNA from 1 species
GACGAGGGGUCCUAGCGUUGUUCGGAAUCAUUGGGCGUAAAGCGUAUGUAGGCGGCCAUUUAAGUCGGGCGUGAAAUCCCCGGGCUCAACCCGGGAAGUGCAUCCGAAACUGGAUGGCUUGAGUAUGGGAGAGGAUAGUGGAAUUCCUGGUGUAGUGGUGAAAUACGUAGAUAUCAGGAGGAACACCGGUGGCGAAGGCGGCUAUCUGGCCCUAUACUGACGCUGAGAUACGAAAGCGUGGGGAUCAAACAGG